rnacentral:rRNA from 1 species
UACGAAGGGGGCUAGCGUUGCUCGGAAUCACUGGGCGUAAAGGGUGCGUAGGCGGCUCUUUAAGUCAGGGGUGAAAUCCUGGAGCUCAACUCCAGAACUGCCCUUGAUACUGAGGAGCUUGAGUCCGGGAGAGGUGAGUGGAACUGCGAGUGUAGAGGUGAAAUUCGUAGAUAUUCGCAAGAACACCAGUGGCGAAGGCGGCUCACUGGCCCGGUACUGACGCUGAGGUGCGAAAGCGUGGGGAGCAAACAGG